rnacentral:rRNA from 1 species
GAUGAACGCUGGCGGCGUGCCUAAUACAUGCAAGUCGAGCGAACGGACGAGAAGCUUGCUUCUCUGAUGUUAGCGGCGGACGUGUGAGUAACACGUGGAUACCCUACCUAUAAGACUGGGAUAACUUCGGGACACCGUAGCUAAUACCGGAGAAUAUUUUGAACCGCAUGGUUCAAAGGUGAAAGACGGUCUUGCUGUAACUUCUCGCUGGAUCCGCGCUGCAUUAGCUGGUUGGUAAGGUAACGGCUUACCACGGCAACUAUGCAUAGCCGACGUGAUAGGGUGAUCGGCCACACUGGAACGUAGACGCGGUCCAUAGGACUGCGAGAGGCAGCAGUAGGGUAUCUGACGCAACGGUCGAGAGCCUGACGGAGCAACGCCGCGUGAGUGAUGAAGGUCUUCGGAGCGUGAAGCUCUGUUAUGAGUGGAAAACAGAUGUGUAAGUAAAUGUGGACAUCUUGACGGUACCUAAUCAGAAAGCCACGGCUAACUACGUG